rnacentral:rRNA from 1 species
UACAGAGGUCCCAAGCGUUGUUCGGAUUCACUGGGCGUAAAGGGUGCGCAGGUGGGUUUGCAAGUUCGAUGUGAAAGCCCCGGGCUUAACCCGGGAAUGGCAUUGGAUACUGCAGAUCUGGAGGUUCGGAGGGGGGACUGGAAUUCUUGGUGUAGCAGUGGAAUGCGUAGAUAUCAAGAGGAACACCAGUGGCGAAGGCGAGUCCCUGGACGACACCUGACACUGAGGCACGAAAGCUAGGGGAGCAAACAGG